CAGUCGCCACGGUAAUACGUAGGUGGCAAGCGUUGUCCGGAAUUAUUGGGCGUAAAGGGCUCGCAGGCGGUUUCUUAAGUCUGAUGUGAAGGCCCCCGGCUCAACCGGGGAGGGUCAUUGGAAACUGGGAAACUUGAGUGCAGAAGAGGAGAGUGGAAUUCCACGUGUAGCGGUGAAAUGCGUAGAGAUGUGGAGGAACACCAGUGGCGAAGGCGGCUUACUGGCUCAUUCUAGACGCUGAGGUGCGAAAGCGUGGGGAGCAAACAGGAUUAGAUACCCCCGUAGUCCCUGUCUCUUAUAC
rnacentral:rRNA from 1 species